UACGUAGGGUGCAAGCGUUAAUCGGAAUUACUGGGCGUAAAGCGUGCGCAGGCGGUGAUGUAAGACAGUUGUGAAAUCCCCGGGCUCAACCUGGGAACUGCAUCUGUGACUGCAUCGCUGGAGUGCGGCAGAGGGGGAUGGAAUUCCACGUGUAGCAGUGAAAUGCGUAGAGAUGUGGAGGAACACCGAUGGCGAAGGCAGCCCCCUGGGGUAACACUGACGCUCAUGCACGAAAGCGUGGGGAGCAAACAGG
rnacentral:rRNA from 1 species